GAUGAACGCUGGCUGUGUGCCUAAUACAUGCAUGUCGAGCGAAGCACUUUUGUGCUUAGCGGCGAAUGGGUGAGUAACACGUACUUAACCUACCCUCAAGAUUGGGACAACACUUGGAAACGAGUGCUAAUACCAAAUACGUAUUUUUAUCGCAUGAUAGAUAUAUAAAAGGAGCUUCGGCUUCACUAGAGGAUGGGAGUGCGCUACAUUAGUUAGUUGGUAGGGUAAUGGCCUACCAAGACUAUGAUGUAUAGCGGGGCCGAGAGGCUGAUCCGCCACACUGGGACUGAGAUACGGCCCAGACUCCUACGGGAGGCAGCAGUAGGGAAUUUUCCACAGUGAACGAAAGUUUGAUGGAGCGACACAGCGUGCAGGAUGAAGGUCUUCGGAUUGUAAACUGCUGUUAUAAGAGAAGAAAAACCCUGGUAGGUAAUGACCAGGACUUGACGGUACCUUAUCAGAAAGCGACGGCUAACUAUGUGCCAGCAGCCGCGGUAAUACAUAGGUCGCAAGCGUUAUCCGGAAUUAUUGGGCGUAAAGAGUUCGUAGGUGGUUUUGUAAGUCUGAAGUUAAAUACCGGGGCUCAACCCCGGCCCGCUUUGGAUACUGCAAAACUAGAGUAAUAGAGAGGUUAGUGGAACUCCAAGUGAAGCGGUGGAAUGCGUAGAUAUUUGGAAGAACACCAAUGGCGAAGGCAACUAACUGGAUAUUAACUGACACUGAGGAACGAAAGCGUGGGGUAGCAAACAGG
rnacentral:rRNA from 1 species